rnacentral:rRNA from 1 species
AUGGCGUCCUCCUCCCGCUCCCACCAAGAAGCGGAGGACGGGGAGCUCCAUGGCGAUCGCAUCACCUCCCCACUCCUGCCGGCGUCGACGUCGCGCAGCUCGCCGGAGCGGGAUGAGGAGGAGGAGGGGGAGAACUCGCCGAUCGAGCAGGUGGCGCUGACGGUGCCGGUGGGCGACGACCCGGACACCCCCGUGCUGACGUUCCGGAUGUGGGUCCUCGGCGUCCUCUCCUGCGCCGUGCUCUCCUUCCUCAACCAGUUCUUCUGGUACCGCAAGGAGCCGCUCACCGUCACCGCCAUCUCCGCCCAGGUCGCCGUCGUGCCGCUCGGCCGGCUCAUGGCGGCCGCGCUGCCGGAGCGCCCCUUCCUCCGUGGCACACACUACGAGUUCACCCUCAACCCGGGCCCGUUCAACGUGAAGGAGCACGUGCUGAUCACCAUCUUCGCCAACGCCGGCGCCGGCACCGUCUACGCCAUCCACGUGGUCACCGCCGUCCGCGUCUUCUGCGGCAAGGACCUCACCUUCUUCGUCUCUCUCCUCGUCGUGCUCACCACCCAGGUGCUCGGGUUCGGGUGGGCGGGCAUAUUCCGGCGGUACCUCGUGGAGCCGGCGAGCAUGUGGUGGCCGUCCAACCUCGUGCAGGUCUCCCUCUUCAGGGCUCUCCAUGAGAAAGAAGGGCGCCGAAAAGGCGGCUUCACGCGCAACCAGUUCUUCCUGGUGGCAUUCGUUUGCAGCUUCGCGUACUACGUCUUCCCGGGCUAUCUGUUCCAGAUGCUCACCUCCCUCUCCUGGAUCUGCUGUGUCUUCCCCCACUCCGUGCUUGCCCAGCAGCUCGGCUCAGGCCUCCAUGGGCUCGGCAUUGGCGCCAUCGGCCUCGACUGGGCGUCCGUCUCUAGCUACCUUGGGAGCCCUCUUGUCAGCCCGUGGUUCGCCACCGUGAAUGUCGCUGCAGGCUUCUUCAUCAUCAUGUACGUAAUCACCCCCAUCGGGUACUGGUUUAACUUCUACAAGGCACAGACCUUCCCCAUCUUCUCUGCCGAUCUCUUCACCUUGACCGGGCAGAAGUACAACAUCUCGGCCAUCGUGGACGACCAUUUCCAUUUCGACAAGGAGGCGUACGAGAGAAACGGGCCACUAUACCUCAGCACUCUCUUGGCAAUCACAUACGGUGUUAGCUUUGCAUCCCUUAGCGCGACGAUUGUUCAUGCUCUUCUGUUCCACGGAAGAGAAAUUUUGCAGUUAAGUAGAUCAACAUUUCGAGGAAAAAGUGUGGACGUACAUACAAAGCUAAUGAGGAGAUAUAAGCAGGUCCCUGAGUGGUGGUUCAUCUGCAUCCUUCUUGUUAGCAUUGCUGCCACUGUAUUUGCUUGCGAGUACUACAUCGAGCAGCUCCAGCUGCCCUGGUGGGGUGUACUGCUUGCAUGCGCCAUUGCCUUUUUCUUCACCCUCCCAAUUGGAAUCAUCACGGCGACAACAAACCAGACCCCAGGAUUGAACAUCGUCACAGAGUACAUCAUUGGGUUCUUGUACCCUGGACGACCCGUCGCGAAUAUGUGCUUUAAGGUUUAUGGGUAUAUCAGCAUGCACCAAGCUCUGAUGUUUCUGCAAGAUUUUAAGUUGGGCCACUAUAUGAAGAUUCCCCCAAGGGCAAUGUUUAUGGCUCAGGUGGUAGGAACAUCGAUUGCGGCAUUUGUGUACCUUGGAACGGCGUGGUGGCUUAUGGACACAAUCCCCAACAUCUGCAACAUCGAGCUUCUCUCAGCGGACAGCCCUUGGACAUGCCCCGCCGAUCAUGUGUUCUAUGAUGCAUCGGUCAUAUGGGGUCUUAUUGGCCCACGCAGAAUAUUCGGGGCCUUGGGAACUUACUCGGCAGUGAACUGGUUCUUCUUGGGAGGUGCCAUUGCUCCUCUCUUGGUAUGGUUUGCACACAAGGCAUUCCCGGGCCAGAACUGGAUCUUACUCAUCAACAUGCCUGUGAUGAUCGGUUGCACCGUCAAGAUGCCGCCUGCCACCGCUGUAAACUACACCACAUGGAUACUUGUUGGGUUUUUGUCAGGUUAUGUGGUCUAUAGAUAUCGACGAGACUGGUGGGAACGACACAAUUAUCUGCUCUCAGGUGCACUAGAUGCAGGUUUGGCGUUCAUGGCUGUCUUAAUUUACUUGUGCCUAGGCUUGGAGAACAUCAGUUUGAAUUGGUGGGGCAAUGACUUGGAUGGAUGUCCGCUGGCUUCUUGCCCCACUGCUAAAGGUAUAGUUGUCAAGGGGUGCCCUGUGUACAACUGA